AUCCAGGUGACGAGUCGCAGAUAGGAGGAAAUACGCAUCCUGGAU
rnacentral:hammerhead_ribozyme from 1 species